AACGAACGCUGGCGGCGUGCCUAACACAUGCAAGUCGAGCGCGAAAAGGGCAACCUGAGUAGAGCGGCGCACGGGUGCGUAACACGUGGGUAAUCUGCCUUAGAGUCGAGGAUAACCUUCCGAAAGGUUGGCUAAUACUCGGUAAGCUUACGGUGUCUUCGGCCGCUGUGGGAAAAGUAGGCCUCUGUUUACAAGCUUACGCACUGGGAUGAGCCCGCGGCCCAUCAGCUAGUUGGCGGUGUAACGGACCACCAAGGCAACGACGGGUAGCUGGUCUGAGAGGACGAUCAGCACACUGGAACUGAGACACGGUCCAGACUCCUACGGGAGGCAGCAGUGGGGAAUUUUCCACAAUGGGCGAAAGCCUGAUGGAGCAACGCAGCGUGUGUGAUGAAGGUUUUCGGAUCGUAAAGCACUUUCGACCAGGACGAAAAACCUCUGGCUAACAUCCAGGGGCCUGACGGUACCGGGAGAAGAAGCACCGGCUAACUCUGUGCCAGCCGCCGCAGUAA
rnacentral:rRNA from 1 species